CAACAGACGCCAUUCUCAGAGAUUCU
rnacentral:sRNA from 1 species